rnacentral:rRNA from 1 species
UGGGGAAUAUUGCACAAUGGGCGCAAGCCUGAUGCAGCCAUGCCGCGUGUGUGAAGAAGGCCUUCGGGUUGUAAAGCACUUUCAGCGGGGAGGAAGGCGGUGAGGUUAAUAACCUCACCGAUUGACGUUACCCGCAGAAGAAGCACCGGCUAACUCCGUGCCAGCAGCCGCGGUAAUACGGAGGGUGCAAGCGUUAAUCGGAGAUACUGGGCGUAAAGCGCACGCAGGCGGUCUGUCAAGUCGGAUGUGAAAUCCCCGGGCUCAACCUGGGAACUGCAUUCGAAACUGGCAGGCUAGAGUCGUGUAGAGGGGGGUAGAAUUCCAGGUGUAGCGGUGAAAUGCGUAGAGAUCUGGAGGAAUACCGGUGGCGAAGGCGGCCCCCUGGACAAAGACUGACGCUCAGGUGCGAAAGCGUGGGGAGCAAACAGG